UGCAGUACGUGAUUCGGUCAAGAAAUUUGGUCAAGAAAAUCAAAAGAACGAUCGCACGGAUCAACUACAUAAUGUAAAUUCAUUUGGAAGAGACUUACGUUUGAAAAAUGACAAAACGAUUAAUAGAAUCGACGCAAGUGAUGAAAAUAAUCGACCUAGACAUGACCAAAUCGUAUGGACGGUUUAUUGGGUUGGCAACUAAGUGAUUGCGGAUUUUGUCAUAAGAUGGUAAUGACAAAAUCCGCAAUCACAUAGUUGAUAUUUGGCUGAUAUAUCGAUAUAGUCUUAAGAUAAAUGUCACUCUGUUUUUACGCGAAAUAAUUCUACUAUUAAG
rnacentral:misc_RNA from 1 species